rnacentral:rRNA from 1 species
UACGGAGGAUGCGAGCGUUAUCCGGAUUUAUUGGGUUUAAAGGGCGUGUAGGCGGGAGAGCAAGUCAGAUGUGAAAUUCCAGGGCUCAACCCUGGAACUGCAUUUGAAACUGUUUUUCUUGAGUGAUGGAGAGGCAGGCGGAAUUCCGUGUGUAGCGGUGAAAUGCGUAGAUAUACGGAGGAACACCAGUGGCGAAGGCGGAUUGCUGGACAGUAACUGACGCUGAGGCGCGAAAGCGUGGGGAGCAA